rnacentral:rRNA from 1 species
UACGUAGGCAGCAAGCGUUGUUCGGAGUUACUGGGCGUAAAGGGUGCGUAGGCGGCUUCUUAAGUCUGGUGUGAAAUCUCCCGGCUCAACUGGGAGGGUGCGCCGGAUACUGAGGGGCUAGAGUGUGGGAUAGGAAAGUGGAAUUCCUGGUGUAGCGGUGAAAUGCGUAGAUAUCAGGAGGAACACCGGUGGUGUAAACGGCUUUCUGGACCAUAACUGACGCUGAGGCACGAAAGCGUGGGUAGCAAACAGG